rnacentral:lncRNA from 1 species
UGCAUCAGGGCACUAAACUGAGUGGAAGCAUUCUCACUGGAGCCCCUGAUCUCUCUUCUCAAGAAGUCAAAGCCACUCUCUAAAACUCCUCAAAGUCUAGCUGCCUCUGCAGAUAGGUCUGAGAUCUCUGUGAUAUCCUCAUGCGGCUGGAGAUGAGCUAAAGCUAAUACUUGCCCCUGCAAGUCUAAUACUCUGCCUGUCAAUCUCAAAAUACAUCCCUCAAGCUGCUCAAUGCGUACCGAC